rnacentral:rRNA from 1 species
UAGGGAAUCUUCGGCAAUGGACGAAAGUCUGACCGAGCAACGCCGCGGGAGUGAAGAAGGUUUUCGGAUCGUAAAACUCUGUUGUUAGAGAAGAACAAGGACGUUAGUAACUGAACGUCCCCUGACGGUAUCUAACCAGAAAGCCACGGCUAACUACGUGCCAGCAGCCGCGGUAAUACGUAGGUGGCAAGCGUUGUCCGGAUUUAUUGGGCGUAAAGCGAGCGCAGGCGGUUUCUUAAGUCUGAUGUGAAAGCCCCCGGCUCAACCGGGGAGGGUCAUUGGAAACUGGGAGAGUUGGGUGCAGAGGAGGGGAGUGGAAUUCCAUGUGUAGCGGUGAAAUGCGUAGAUAUAUGGAGGAACACCAGUGGCGAAGGCGGCUCUCUGGUCUGUAACUGACGCUGAGGGUCGAAAGCGUGGGGAGCAAACAGG